GUUUAAUGGGCGCAGCCUGAUCUAGCCAUGCCGCGUGAGUGAUGAAGGCCUUAGGGUCGUAAAGCUCUUUCGCCUGGGAUGAUAAUGACAGUAUCUGGUAAAGAAACCCCGGCUAACUCCGUGCCAGCAGCCGCGGUAAUACGGAGGGGGUUAGCGUUGUUCGGAAUUACUGGGCGUAAAGCGCGCGUAGGCGGAUUAGUCAGUUGGAGGUGAAAUCCCGGGGCUCAACCCCGGAACUGCCUUUAAUACUGCUAGUCUUGAGUUCGAGAGAGGUGAGUGGAAUUCCGAGUGUAGAGGUGAAAUUCGUAGAUAUUCGGAGGAACACCAGUGGCGAAGGCGGCUCACUGGCUCGAUACUGACGCUGAGGUGCGAAAGUGUGGGGAGCAAACAGGAUUAGAUACCCUGGUAGUCCACACCGUAAACGAUGAAUGCCAGUCGUCGGGUAGUAUACUAUUCGGUGACACACCUAACGGAUUAAGCAUUCCGCCUGGGGAGUACGGUCGCAAGAUUAAAACUCAAAGGAAUUGACGGA
rnacentral:rRNA from 1 species